rnacentral:rRNA from 1 species
GACGAACGCUGGCGGCGUGCUUAACACAUGCAAGUCGAACGGAAAGGCCCUGCUUUUGUGGGGUGCUCGAGUGGCGAACGGGUGAGUAACACGUGAGUAACCUGCCCUUGACUUUGGGAUAACUUCAGGAAACUGGGGCUAAUACUGGAUAGGAGCUCCUGCUGCAUGGUGGGGGUUGGAAAGUUUCGGCGGUUGGGGAUGGACUCGCGGCUUAUCAGCUUGUUGGUGGGGUAGUGGCUUACCAAGGCUUUGACGGGUAGCCGGCCUGAGAGGGUGACCGGCCCCAUGGUGACUGGGAUGCGGCCCAGACUCCUACGGGGGGCAGCGGUGGGGAAUUUUGCACAAUGGGCGGAGGCCUGCUCCAGCACCCCCCGGUGGGGGAUGACGGCCUUCGGGUUGAAAACCCCUUUCCCCUGUGACGAAGCGUGAUGGCCGUGAAUGGGUAAAGAACCCCCGCCCAACUCCUG